GCUAGGUAUGGUGGCGCACACCUGUAAUCCCAGCAACUUGGGAGGCUGAGGCAGAAGAACACAAGUUUGAGACCAGCUUCAGCAAUUUAGAAAGGCCUUAAGCAAUUUGGCGAGACCCUGUCUCAA
rnacentral:sRNA from 1 species